rnacentral:tRNA from 1 species
GGGAGUAUGCCUCAGAGGUAGAGUGUAUGCUUAGCAUGCACAAGGUCCUGGCUUCAAUCCCCAGUGUCUCCA